UAAGCGGAGGAAAAGAAACUAACAAGGAUUCCCCUAGUAACGGCGAGUGAAGCGGGAAGAGCUCAAAUUUGAAAUCUGGUAGCCUUCGGCUGCCCGAGUUGUAAUCUAGAGAAGUGUUUUCCGUGCCGGCCCAUGUACAAGUCCCUUGGAACAGGGCGUCAUAGAGGGUGAGAAUCCCGUCCUUGACAUGGACCCCCGGUGCUUUGUGAUACACUUUCAACGAGUCGAGUUGUUUGGGAAUGCAGCUCAAAAUGGGUGGUGAAUUCCAUCUAAAGCUAAAUAUUGGCGAGAGACCGAUAGCGAACAAGUACCGUGAGGGAAAGAUGAAAAGCACUUUGGAAAGAGAGUUAAACAGUACGUGAAAUUGUUGAAAGGGAAACGAUUGAAGUCAGUCAUGCUCUUUGGAUUCAGCCGUUCUGCGGUGUAUUUCCAUUGAGUGGGGUCAACAUCAGUUUUGAUCGCUGGAUAAAGGCACUAGGAAGGUAGCACUCUCGGGUGAACUUAUAGCCUAGCGUCAUAUACAGUGAUUGGGACUGAGGAACGCAGCAUGCCUUUAUGGCCGGGAUUCGUCCACGUACAUGCUUAGGAUGUUGACAUAAUGGCUUUAAACGACCCGUCUUGAAACACG
rnacentral:rRNA from 1 species